GGGACACAUUCGCCUCCGGCUCAAUGGCGACACCUAUCUGUGCGUUGUGGCAGAUCUUGGGCGCGCCGAACGCGCUGCCGAAUUGGUUGUCACCUGCGGAACAUGAACACAUGGGACUGGCAGGACCGGAUAACAACAAGAAAUGGUCUGAAAAUGUAUGCGACAAAUUAAACUAUUUAAGACUCCCAGAUACAUGGCAAAACACCUCCUCUUGAUAAGUUAACUAAAGUCACAAACUACUAAGAAGAUACUACGUACUAAAGUGAAGUGCAGCCACCGUGUAUACAAUAUUUUAAGGUAGCGCCACACUAGA